AAAUGACAUAUUCUAUGUUGUUUUAACAUUUAUACAAUAUGAAAGUGGUGACGGCAGCACUGAUGUGGUGCAGUCAGAAAGGUUAGUUUAGUCAUUUUCAUGUUAGUAUAGGGUGCAUUUAGUAACGAUGGGGUGCACGAAGCAAAAUGCCUUUGGUCCAAUCGUAAGUUCCUUUCUUCAUCUGACGCGUGAUUCUCUGCAAAGGUAUCGCGUCUUCCAUUCUGAUUCCGUGGUUCAGUUUCCGCAUUGAAGCAAAGAGCUCGAUCACAUUUUGUUCAUCGAUUAUUACGCCUUCAAAUGCUUGCUGGAGAAUGAUUACGAUGAUGGCAGUGUGUUGGAGAAUAAAGGAGAAAACUUAAUGGUGAAAUAACGUGUUUUCUCUAUAAUGGGAUUGGAUUAUUUUUAUUAAAUACUUUGAAAAAAAUAUAGGCUAUAUAAGUAGAUAGUAUAAUAGACUUUUAAUAAAAUAGCAUCACAAAAUAAGUAUUAUUUACUCUGAUUUCUGAUUGAUUGAUGAUAACCAUAGGAAUAACUCUUGUAUAAAGGAUUUACAAGUUUUCACCUGUGACUGCUUCAUAAGUGGAAGAUAUUACAAUGUAUAUCUGUCAAGAGCUUAGACGGUCUAGAGUAUGAUCACACAUAUGCUUUUUUCUUAGACUAUAAUGCUUUAAAGGGUUGUGCAGGAAACACAGAAAAUAC
rnacentral:sRNA from 1 species